CAAGUACUCUUUCGCUUCGAAAUUCUUGUUUUAGAUUCGUCUAGAUGUGGAUGUGUCUAAUACUAAAAUAUGUCUUGAUACAUCCGUAUUUAGAAAAAUCUAAGACAAGAAUUUUGGAAUGAAGGAAAUACUAA
rfam:Triticum aestivum genome assembly, contig: Triticum_aestivum_CS42_TGACv1_scaffold_640807_T_5AL-0.158939_6AL-0.092946